AUGAAGAGAUCAAUUGUUCCAGCGAUCCGUGGGAAAAAAUACGAGAUCGAUCUAGACAUGGAGAUAUUGAUCAUUCCCCGCUGUCCGUUUGGCUAUGAUCCGUUCGGUGGGAAAAAAAACUUCAAUCAAGGCUUGACGAAAGAGGACCGAUCACGGGAUCAGGGGACGCUGCCGUGCGAACUGGGCCGUCCAAGUAGAGAAGAAGGGAGGGAGAGGGAACACAACCCAAAAAUCCCCGACCUGUCCGCCCGUCCGAGGAAGACGAACCCCCCAAAUCGCCAACCUCGAUCCAUCGAUCGGCCAAACCCUAACCCCGACCACCCAAACCCCCAAUCCCGGCCGGCGACGAUGGCCGCCGGCAACUUCCGCUUCCCCGACUUCGCCCUCCUCGACCCGAUCACCUGCAUCCGCGACCUCCGCAACGCAACCACCGCGUGGGCCUUGACCACGGCGGGCCUCACCAUUCAGGUCUCCUUGGCGGCGGCCGCCCCGCCGCGCCUCUCCCACUUCUGCGUCUGGUGCCCCGGCCGCGACAAGACCACCUUCGCUUACGUGCCCGAUGUCUUCUGCUCCGCGGGGGACCACGCCCUCAUCCGGGUCGGCUUCACCACCGGCGACUCGACGGAUCACUACAUCGUCUACCGGGCCAGGGGGCCCGACGGCCGGCCGUCGCUUGACCUGCUCCCGGACUUCGAUGAUUAUUCCGACGCAGAGAGUCUGCUGCUGCCCUACGGUUUCGUCUCCCACCGCAAGCACUUGGUCAUAGCGGCCCUGAGCGACGGACCGACGGAGUGGCAGUACUAUCUCCACACCCUCAGCUGCGAGCCGCACUCCACGUGGUCCAAGAAGCUGCUGCGGGUGGAGUUCCUGAUCUGCGACGUGCUCGAUCCCGGGGUGGCGGCGUUGCACUUCGUCCCGAUGCCCAAGCUGCUGCCCAGCAACAAUCAACUCUACGACAAUGAAUCUCGCGCGAGGGCGAUUCGCGACGUCACCUUCAGCCGUGGCUACAUCAGGUGCGUCGAGUUUGAGGAGCUGGUAGAAUGCAGAGCCACAACUGUGCCGGCUGUUCCUGAUCCCUGGGACAUGGAUGAGCUCCAAGACUCGGAAUCGGCCGAUGAUCCGCCCCAGGAGGAGGAGGAAGAUGUUGUCGUUGGUUGGAGGCUCAUCACAUGGUAUAGGGCAUUGACUUGGAACUGUUGGCGCAAGGGGUACACGGUUCAUUCCGACGAGCUCGGCAUUGUCUCCUUGCCUCAGAUUAUUGGAGGUGCUGGUGCCUGUGCUCUAAAAGUGCCACUCAAGGACCUGAAAGCAGCUGCUCCUACUCUCCGUGGCGACGGCGAUGUUGUUUACCUCGCGUGCGAACUGCACGAGCAGAACCAAAGAACAUGGAUUGUUGCUGUUGACACUAGGAGGAAGUUGGUGGGAGAGCUUUGUUCUGUAGAGGAAGUCUAUCUUUACGAUCCGAGCUACAUUCCAUAUGUGCUUACCGAAUAUUAUCUAGAUGAUAGAUCAGUUAUCCAAGCUAAAGCAGAUAGAUUUGUGCCCAACAACAACAAUGCAAACUCAAGAAUGUGUGUUGUUCUCUGUCUGCUACUAGUGCCCCGUUUGCCGUGCAUCAAGCAGCAGGAGCAGGAUGUGGGCGUGGAAGCCUCCGGCACGGUGGCUCUGGUCCUGGCGACCUCUGUAAGGCCGCUACGCAAGGUCGGCGUCUCUCUGGCGCGGGAGCUCAUGGCGGUGGCCGACGACGCGCUCCAGCCGACAGCCGUGGCCGAGCGGAUUGCGGCGCCGCCGCGGCUAGCUGAGUGGCAGCGACAGAAGAGCUCGAGGGCGGCACGGUGUCCGACAUGA
rnacentral:rRNA from 1 species